CCUACGGGAGGCUGCAGUAGGGAAUCUUCCACAAUGGGCGAAAGCCUGAUGGAGUAACGCCGCGUGGAUGAAGAAGGCCUUCGGAUCGUAAAACCCUGUUGUUAGAGAAGAAAAUGCGUGAGAGUAACUGUUCACGUUUCGACGGUAUCUAACCGGAAAGCCACGGCUAACUACGUCCCAGCAGCCGCGGUAAUACGUAGGUGGCAAGCGUUAUCCGGUUUUAUUGGGCGUAAAGGGAACGCAGGCGGUCUUUUAAGUCUGAUGUGAAAGCCUUCGGCUUAACGGGAGGAGUGCAUUGGAUACUGGGAGACUUGAGUGCAGAUGAGGAGAGUGGAACGCCAUGUGUAGCGGUGAAAUGCGUAGAUAU
rnacentral:rRNA from 1 species